rnacentral:rRNA from 1 species
UACGUAGGCGGCGAGCGUUAUCCGGAUUUACUGGGCGUAAAGAGGGCGCAGGCGGCUUGGCAAGUCGGAUGUUAAAUCUCCCGGCUCAACUGGGAGUCAUCGUUCGAUACUGUUAGGCUAGAGGGCAGCAGAGGGUGAUGGAAUUCCCGGUGUAGUGGUGAAAUGCGUAGAUAUCGGGAGGAACACCAGUGGCGAAGGCGGUCACCUAGGCUGUUACUGACGCUUAAGCCCGAAGGCGUGGGGAGCAAACAGG